rnacentral:rRNA from 1 species
CACGUAGGGCGCAAGCGUUGUCCGGAAUUACUGGGCGUAAAGGGCUCGUAGGUGGCCAACUAAGUCAGACGUGAAAUCCCUCGGCUUAACCGGGGAACUGCGUCUGAUACUGGAUGGCUUGAGUUCGGGAGAGGGAUGCGGAAUUCCAGGUGUAGCGGUGAAAUGCGUAGAUAUCUGGAGGAACACCGGUGGCGAAGGCGGCAUCCUGGACCGACACUGACGCUGAGGAGCGAAAGCCAGGGGAGCAAACGGG